rnacentral:rRNA from 1 species
GAGUUUGAUCCUGGCUCAGGAUGAACGCUGGCGGCGUGCCUAACACAUGCAAGUCGAACGCUCGCAAGAGAGUGGCGCACAGGUGAGUAACACGUAGCUAACCUGCCCUCAAGACAAGGAUAACAAUAGGAAACUAUUGCUAAUACUUGAUAAGCUUACGGGCUGUAGAGGCCUAUAAGAAAAGAUUUAUCGCUUGAGGAUGGGGCUGCGAGCCAUCAGCUAGUUGGUGAGGUAAUGGCUCACCAAGGCGACGACGGCUAGGGGACCUGAGAGGGUGACCCCCCACACUGGGACUGAGACACGGCCCAGACUCCUACGGGAGGCAGCAGUGAGGAAUAUUGCUCAAUGGGCGCAAGCCUGAAGCAGCGACGCCGCGUGGAUGAAGAAGGUUUUCGGACUGUAAAAUCCUUUUCUGUGUGACGAGAGUGGACGGUAGCACAGGAAUAAGUCUCGGCUAACUACGUGCCAGCAGCCGCGGUAAAACGUAGGAGGCAAGCGUUAUCCGGAGUUACUGGGCGUAAAGCGCGUGUAGGUGGGUUGGUAAGUUACUUAUGAAAGCUCCUGGCUAAACUAGGAGAGGUUGAGUGAUACUGCCAGUCUUGAAUAGAGGAGAGGUUGACGGAAUUCCGCGUGUAGUGGUGAAAUGCGUAGAGAUGCGGAAGAACACCAGUGGCGAAGGCGGUCAACUGGCCUCAUAUUGACACUCAGACGCGAAGGCAUGGGUAGCGAACGGGAUUAGAAACCCCGGUAGUCCAUGCAAUAAACGAUGCACACUGGAUGUUCGUUGUCCUACGGGGCAA